AUGAACAUUUUAUUUAUAUAUAUUCGUAAAAUUAGGAAAAAAGUUCAUGGGUUUGACAUCGACUAAUAUAGCAAUUAAGGUAAAUAUCGAUUUAACGAAACAGAUGGUCGAUUUAUUUCCCUAUCAUUCUAUUUCUAUCUUUUUCUUUGAUAUUUAUUACUCUGUCUCUUUCAUUCUCUUUUUCUCUCUAUAGAUAGAAAAUAAUUGUGAUUCCUUGGUCGUUCUAUAUAUUUUCUUUAUUUCUCUCGAUCGUACUCGAACACGUAACUUUUUUCACUAAAUAAAAGUUAAGAACACAAAUAGAAAGAAUAAUCUGUGGUCUUCUUAAACAUUGAUUAUACUACUUACUGCAUCGGACCUGUUAAGUAGUAAAAACGUAAACAUAGUCAGACUUACAAGUCUAGAAUCGACACGUUCGCUAAAUUUUUAUUUUUUUUUAUUAAACUGAACAUUGUGUAAAAUACUAUUUACAAUUUAUACUUUGAAUUGUGUUCUCGAGUUUUCGAAAAAAAAAAAAAAAAAAAAAAAAAAAAAAAAAACAUAUAUUCUCAAAAAUAUUAUUCGAGUAAUAUAUUUACUGUUGAAAUUUGAUUUUAUUUCAAAUACAUUGUAAAUAUUUGAAAAAGAGAAGAGGUAUUUCUACGAAUUAAAUGCAACAAACUAUUGAAAAUUUUAACAACGGAUAAUAUAAUCCUACAAACACAAGUAUUAUACACAUUUAGACCGUCAUGGAAAUUCAAACUCUUCUCGUUUCGAAACCAAAUUCCAAACUUAAAGUUAGUAUUAUCGUCGUCGUUUGUUUCACAUUUUUCAUUUUACUUGUUUCGCGUUAAUAUCAAGAGAAAUAAAGAGAGAAGAAGAAUAAGAGAGAAAGAGAUAAUAUAAAACAUAUCAAAUAUAAUUAUCGUAAACUUUACUAUCGCAAAUUUUUCGAAAAUUUUCUAUCGCGAAUAUCAUUAAUCAUUUCUAAUAUAAUAAUAAAAAUCUUCAAUCAUUCGUUCCUACGUUUUAAACUCAACAAAUUAUUAAUAUCAAUCUUCAAAAAUACAUAUUUCACAUUGUACGAAAAAUUAUUCGUAAAAUUAAAUCAAACGUCCUGUUAAAUAAAUUCGGUCAAGAGAAAAAACAAAUAAAUCCAAUCGAAUUCCAAUUCAAAGCUCGACAAAUUUUUUCUCAAACUUGCAAAGAAAAAGAUAAGAAAAAAAAAAAGAAGAAAAAAAAACAAUUUCUAAAACGGAAAAAAAAUCAAUCGAAGAUUAGUCGCAAAGAAAAACAAAAAAGAAAAAAAAUAAACGAACAAAUUGUACGCGUUACUUUAACUUAAAAAUCGUGAUCUUGGACGCGCUGGUCAAAGUGCCGGAUAAAUUGUCGGAAGUCCUGGGGGAUGUUCUGGAGUUAGCAUGCGGCGGCGGCGGCGGAGGAGGAGGUGGUGGUGGUGGUGGUGGAGGCGGGGGUAGGAGCCGAAGUGGUUCUGGAAAUACUACUACAGAAAAAGGUACGAGUGGUGGUGGUGGUGGAAGUGCGACGAGCAAAAUCGGCAUGGUCACGGGAGUGGCCAUCAUCAGAGGGAAAUGGGCUCAAAGGGGGAACAGGUCACCUCUUUCGAGUGUUGCCAACACUGACAGUGCUGACAGCACUACUUCUACUAGCUCAGAGGAAUUCAACAUCGCCAAAGAACAACAUGCUGUACAACCAUCACCUAUAAUGAUCGAGUCAGGUAUUCAUUUGUAUUUUUAAUUUACAUUUAAAUAAUUGAUUGUAAUUUUGUAAGAAAAAAGAUACAUUUUUUCUUUUUCGUCUCUUCUUGUUUCCUAGGAUUUUUUUUUAAAUUUAUUUCUAUCUCUCUCCAUUGUUUCCAUACUUCAGCAUGAUAACCCGUAAUACAUGAGCCAAGUUUUACGUAGUCUCGAUUAUCUUUCAUAUUUAGAUUUUCACGAGCUCGCACACAACAAACAACAACAACAACCACUGUGUUUACGAGCGCAAUAUUUUAUAUCACGGUUAUAAAACGAGCCGACCAAGUUACAGAUGAUUUUUAUGCACGGUAAAAGGGGUGGUGUGGUGGAGUCCUUGAAAAGAAAAAUAAAAAAAAUAAAAAAGAAAAAAAAACAUAACACGACAGGAAAACAAAGUGCGUUUAUACGUGUGAAUUUUUCAUUCUACGCCUCUACUCGUAUACUACUCUU
rnacentral:misc_RNA from 1 species